rnacentral:rRNA from 1 species
AUCGAACGCUGGCGGCAUGCCUUACACAUGCAAGUCGAACGGCAGCACGGGUGCUUGCACCUGGUGGCGAGUGGCGAACGGGUGAGUAAUACAUCGGGACAUGUCCUGUAGUGGGGGAUAGCCCGGUGAAAGCCGGAAUAAUACCGCAUACGAUCUACGGAUGACAGCGGGGGACCUUCGGGCCUCGCGCUAUAGGGUUGGCCGAUGGCUGAUCAGCUAGUUGGUGGGGUAAAGGCCAACCAAGGCGACGAUCAGUAGCUGGUCUGAGAGGACGACCAGCCAGACUGGGACUGAGACACGGCCCAGACUCCUACGGUGGGAAGCGGUGGGGAAUUUUGGACAAGGGGGGAAAGCCUGAUCCAGCAAUGCGGCGUGUGUGAAGAAGGCCUUCGGGUUGGAAAGCACUUUUGUCCGGAAAGAAAUCCUUGGCCCUAAUACGGUCGGGAAAUGACGGUACCGGAAGAAUAAGCACCGGCUAACUACGUG